UAGGGAAUCUUCGGCAAUGGACGAAAGUCUGACCGAGCAACGCCGCGUGAGUGAAGAAGGUUUUCGGAUCGUAAAACUCCGUUGUUAGAGAAGAACAAGGACGUUAGUAACUGAACGUCCCCUGACGGUAUCUAACCAGAAAGCCACGGCUAACUACGUGCCAGCAGCCGCGGUAAUACGUAGGUGGCAAGCGUUGUCCGGAUUGAUUGGGCGUAAAGCGAGGGCAGGCGGUUUCUUAAGUCUGAUGUGAAAGCCCCCGGCUCAACCGGGGAGGGUCAUUGGAAACUGGGAGACGUGAGUGCAGAAGAGGAGAGUGGAAUUCCAUGUGUGGCGGUGAAAUGCGUAGAUAUAUGGAGGAACACCAGUGGCGAAGGCGGCUCUCUGGUCUGUAACUGACGCUGAGGAUCGAAAGCGUGGGGAGCAAACAGG
rnacentral:rRNA from 1 species